AACGAACGCUGGCGGCAGGCUUAACACAUGCAAGUCGAACGCCCCGCAAGGGGAGUGGCAGACGGGUGAGUAACACGUGGGAACGUGCCCUAAGGUUCGGAAUAUUCCCGGGAAACUGGGAGCAAUACCGAAUGUGUCCGAGAGGAGAAAGAUUUAUCGCCUUAGGAUCGGCCCGCGUCGGAUUAGCUAGUUGGUGGGGUAAAAGCCUACCAAGGCGACGAUCCGUAGCUGGUCUGAGAGGACGACCAGGCCACACUGGGACUGAGACACGGCCCAGACUCCUACGGGA
rnacentral:rRNA from 1 species